UAAUAAAAUAGGACUGCAGGAAGUAAACAGUGUCUAGUUUCAGUUGGGAUGUGUAUGGGAAAUUGGUAAUCGCAACCUGAACCUCUGAUUAAUCAGCUGAGGCAAGUAUUGGGUCACCUGUGGGAGCACAGGUGAGAGUAAUUUAGCUGUGCUCCCAGAAGGGGUGGAGCUUAACUCCACUUCCUCUAGACCUUAUUUAAGGGCUGACCACAGCUAAGGCAGCAUCUCUUGGAGAUUGCUCCCUGGUGGAGAUUGCAUCAGCAUUUCCCAGUGAAGGCAUCCAAAUCAGUGAGUUUUUCCUUUUAAAUUAUCUUUUGAAUACUGGUUACCAUCUUUGUAUCAUUCAACUUACGGGAUGGAAUUAUCUUCUUCUGCAUGGAAUAUGAUCCACUUAUCACUGAGUAGAGUGUAAUAUGUGAUUAAUAUUGGUAUUAUAACAAAGUAUAUAAUACAUAAAAAACAUGGAGCCUUUGUCAAAUACUGUACAUGUAAAAGUGAGAUAAUAUUUUCCAUGUUAAGAUUUCUAGAUUACACUUAAGUGAUAACAACGGAUAAACUUGUUUCUUGUUUUUGAUACUUUAAAGCUUGAUGUUUGAGAUUUUCCAUCACUGUUUUGAACUAUUUAUCACUCACAGAACAGAGAAGAACAGUUAUUUGCAAGAGUUUUUCAUCCUCUAGCUCCCCCAGCAUUAUAACUUGGUUUAACCAGAUGAAGGAGUGCAUAAGAGAGGAAAAUUACAAUUUGCUGGACUAAUGGAAAUCAUUUAAAAGUCAUAGCCUCUGGAAAAAAUCCUUUCAAACACCAAGCUCAAGAACAAGAAACACUCAGCACCAAGGGGAUUCUUUGUACCCUUUCCGAAUACAUUUUCACCCUGCACACUACUGUAACAGAGCAUGCAGAAGGAAAAGUAAACAGAUGGAGUGUGGAGAACA
rnacentral:lncRNA from 1 species